UUUAAAAAAAACAUCAUUUGUGGUCGUUUUUUUUUUAAAAAAUUAAUUAAAAAAUAUUUUAAAAACCGACCACUUGUGGUAGGUUUCUAAAAAUACUUUUUAAAAAAAUCGACCACUUGUGUUAGGUUUUUAAAAAUAUUUUUUAAAAAAAUUAAUUAAAAUACUUUUUAAACCAACCACUUGAUUGUUAGUAUUAACUUUACUUUGAAUAUAGGACGAAUUUAUGCGUCUUGUUGGUGAAUAUCGUAGUAGUCAGCCUCCCGAAAGUUAGGGUGACCCAAUACCCGAUCAUGUAUGGAAUGAGUUAUUGAAACAAGCUUCGGGUCCUGUAAAUAGAGGCAAUUUCUACGGAUACCCACACAAUAUUUUGGCGAUAGUAUUAGGAGUUCGUCUGGCCCUGCAUACUCUAGCUCUUCGGUUGAUACAAAAACUAUUGAAAGAUUACAAAAUACGGUUUCUCAACUCACUGAAGAGCUUGCUCAAUAGAGAGAGAGGCAAAAGAAGGCGGAGAAGGCAACAACAUCACAAUUCAGAAAGUUGCAGCAACAAUUCAGUUCUUUCAUUCAAACUGCAGGGGUUAUUCCUCUGUGUCCUGAUGAUGCAGUUUGGGCUACAAAAGGUCUAGGCCCGCUCGAUGAUUUCAGCAUGGAUGAGGACAUGGAAGAGGAGCACGAAUUCGAUGAUGCUGACUUUUAGUUUUGAUUUUUGUAUGUUUUUGACAUUUUGUUGUUUGAAACUAUGGUUGUACUUUAUUCGUACUCAUUUGUUUUUUUUUUAUUGUUGUUGAACCUAUGGUUGAUUUUUGUUGAAACUAUGAUGACUUUUUGUUGUUGGAUACUGC
rnacentral:lncRNA from 1 species